UUUAUUUUGGUUUUGGUUAUCUGAUUUCUUGUGAUAAUUUUAAAUAUGAUAUCUUGUAAGAUGUUUUAACAUUUUAAAUUAUUUAUUUAAAUCUAUAUAUUAGAUACUUCGAUACCGAGUAUAUUUGGACUUAGUUUCAAUUAGUAUUGUGUAAAUUAUAUACUGCAAAAUGAACGUCCUUCGUACUAUGUUCGGCGUGUGUAGUGGCUCCGCAGAGAAGGGGGAGGUACACGACACCGUGAGGAGAAUAUUCGGCAACGAACUCGUCAUGAAAGAUAAUUCCGAUAGACAAAAUCAGAAAAGCAAAUACUUGUGCCAUAUACGAGAGAAUCUAAUGAAGGUUUUAGAUGCGAAAAUAAUGACACACAAGUCGAAAUUUGCAAAGAAACACGCGCAAGCUUAU